rnacentral:sRNA from 1 species
CUUCGGUGCUCACAUUCAGGCACAAAUUUAAAAUUUCAAAAUUUGAGUUUUCAAAAAUAUCACAAUACAUUCUUGAUGCACUUUAAAAGCAGGGAAAUCCUAAAGUUUGAUGUUCAAUGAAUGCCACAAGUCUUGUUUCCUUUUAUGAAAUUCCUUUGACUACGAAGAAUAACACUGGAAAAAUUCACAGAAAAAAGCAAUUUCUUCAGAAUUGUUCAGCCUUAUAAAUUACAUCUUACAAAUUAUUCAACAUAUAUUGUACAUAACCCUGGUCCUCAUUUUAAACUCCUAUAGACAUAUAGCAAUUUCUGUCUCAGAUUUCAUCAGUCCAAUGAUGUUCCAAUGCCGAACACUUGUAAAUCCAAUCAAUGUCUCUCCAAGGCUGUCAAAUGCAUGCUUCAGAUAAUUUCUCAUGUUAGUUGAGAGUUGAGACAUAUUCUCUGAUGGGUGAACCUUCUGGCUCCUCAAUUUCUCAUCUUUCUUCAAUUAUAGCUUUCUAGAAAAGGGAGAAGCUGAGAACUGCAUAGAAUCUGUGCAUGGAACUGUGUUUAGUUGGGACCCCAGCAACUCAAGUACAUAACAGUUCUCAAGGAUUCCUCUGACUGCUUAGCUUUCUCAUCUUUGAAUUCUGCAGAAGCCAUGGCAGAUGACUGAGAAGAAAGCUUCCUGGUGUGAGAGAAAGACCUCAUAUUAUGUUUAGCAUGUUACUGUGCUGAUCUCAAAACACUGUUCCACCUGCAGAUGCCCUGGUCCUUCAAGGCCUCCACCACUCCAACACUUGCUGCCACGGUCCAAGCACGGCUUGUAGAACUCAUUCUUGACUCCUACAACUAAAAGUAGACGAUGCUAAAAAUCUCUUUUUUUGUGUGUGUGUAAGAACAAGGUAGUGGGAAAAUUUGAUUUGUUU